CGCUGCACAUCACUCUCCAGUCCAGAGUGGCUCCGCUGGUCUCUGCUUUUUUAUGUCCGGCCAGAUGGCCGGGCCCUGCUUCCCGCGCCGCUCGCCCUCUCCGCUCAUCAGCCCCCCUCGGCGCCCCGCAGCGCUGCUCCCCCGCCGCGCGGCGGCCUGCCCCGGUACGCGUCGGCCGCCUCUCCGCCGCCCCCGUCCGCCGAUUUCGCGCUUGAACAUCCACUUCGUAGAAACUGCUCUCCUCUACUUGAGAGUGUUCUAUUACCUGGCGGAAGUGACUUGAAUGUGCAUGAAUGGAAGGCAGUUCCAGAUAUCUGGAGGACAGCGGCAGAAAAAUAUCCUGACCUCAUAGCUGUAAUAGAUCCUUAUCAUGAACCGCCGACAGAAUGGACAUAUACACACCUUGAACAAGAAAUAUUGGAUUUUUCUCAAGGUCUAAAGGCCAUUGGCAUUGCUCCAGAUGAAAAAGCUAGCUCUUUUAGCUGACAACUCAUGUCGGUGGUUAGUUGCAGAUCAAGGAAUCAUGGCUACUGGUGCAAUCAAUGUUGUUAGAUGAACAAGAUCUCUUGAUGAAGAAUUGUUUCAAAUAUACAUUCAUUCAGAAAGGGGACAUGCAACUCUGGGUGCAAGUUUGGCGUUCUCCCUCACUCCCUCUACAUAAGAACUGGAUGAGCUACAUCGGGUCAAAUAGUCCACCUUCUCCCUCUUAAUGAAAAACGUGCUCAGGCACGGUCGAAAAAAAGAAAAAUUGUCCACCUUUUAUAUUAUAUUAGACCUAUUUCAGCAUGCGACUCUGCUUGCAUUUUGGUAUCUAUGGUAGGAAAAGUAUUUGUGAUGGGCUAUUAUUAUCAUAUACUUGAUCACCGGAAAUUCGAUUACAAGAAAUACAUAUGCCAUAUAUGUUCACUGGAUUGUUUCAUCUUGAACUUUACAAUGGAACACAUCAUCACCGGUUGCUUGCGGAAUCAAAGUAUCAUUGUAUUGCGCAGCAUAUAGAUAUGCGAGUGAAGCGCAUUCCUUCAUCAAACUUGAUAAAUUUUUUAUCAUAUGAACUCUGGAAACGUAGACAGAGAGAUGACAGUACUAGGAGUGGUUUUAGAUUCUGCAUAAUAAUAUUCAGUGCACAUAUAUUUCUUUUACUUUCAUGCCGUGAUUAUGAAUUUAUUGUUUUUCCCAUCACAGCAUUGCACUUGUUGUGGACAGUCCUCAAUUCUUUAACCGGCUUGCAGAAUCUUUCAUAUCAAGGAUUAAUGCAAGAUUCAUUGUGCUACUUUGGGAGUUUGGGGUGACAAAUCAUGCAUAGAUAGCAAAGCUGUGAAGGAUAUACCACUUUAUGACUACAAGGAUAUGACUAAACUGGUCGGGAGAGUCGUAAUGCUCUGCUUCUUUCUGGCCACCAAGGUCAGCAAGAAAUCUUUGAAACUAUUACUCAAGAAGAUGUGGCAACACUAAUAUAUACUAGUGGAACAGGUGGCACACCAAAAGGCGUAAUGCUGACCCACCAAAAUCUCUUGCAUCAGAUAAAGAAUUUGUGGGACAUUGUACCAGCAGAACCUGGUGAUAGGUUCCUAAGCAUGCUUCCACCAUGGCAUGCUUAUGAGCGUGCUUGUGAGUACUUCAUCUUCACUUACGGAAUCCAGCAAGUUUACACUGCCGUCAAGUAUAUGAAGGAAGAUUUGCAGUGUUACCAACCUCACUAUAUUAUAUCAGUAUCGCUGGUCUAUGAAACUUUGUACAGG